ACAUGUGCCUCCCUCAAACCUUGUUACGACCUGGGCACAUUACCCGUCUGACG
rnacentral:ncRNA from 1 species